AAACCGUUUAGGGGUAAACCUGAAAAACCCGAAAGGUCGAAGGGAGAAAUUCAUCGCGUGUCGACGGUGACAUCAGACAUUGUUGUGUGACGGAAAUGUGUUUACACAUUUUCGCGCCCUUUGUUUGAUUAAUUGACGAACGCGUGCACUUUUCUCCUGGUAGGACGUCGCGAUCCGUUGGGUGUCGGUCUACGGCUUGCGGUGGAGCCCGUUUGUCAUUAUUGACGAAUGGACCCGCAUUGUUCCCGGCCGACUCGCUCGACGGUAUAAGAAAGGUUAGAGGCCGCUCGAUUUGGAGCGUUCGACUCGUGGCAAGCGCGCCAGAUGCGUUGGCAAUCGGACCUGGUGCCGUUUCUGACCUCUGGUGACUGUUGGCUACGAUGUUCUCGGACAGACCUCAAGACCGAUCUGCGACGCUAUAGCUUUGGGUACUUUCAGGACCCGUCUUGAAACACGGACCAAGGAGUCUAGCAUGUACGCGAGUCAUUGGGAAUCACUAAACCUAAAGGCGCAAUGAAAGUAAAGGUCUUCCUUGCGGAGACCGAGGGAAGACGGGCGGUUCUACCGUUAAAAGUGGCCGCUCAGCAUUCCCGGGGCGUCUCAUUCUCAUUGCGAGAAGAGGCGCACCAAGAGCGUACACGCUGGGACCCGAAAGAUGGUGAACUAUGCCUGGUCAGGACGAAGUCAGGGGAAACCCUGAUGGAGGUCCGUAGCGAUUCUGACGUGCAAAUCGAUCGUCGGAACUGGGUAUAGGGGCGAAAGACUAAUCGAACCAUC
rnacentral:rRNA from 1 species